rnacentral:rRNA from 1 species
AGGAGACUGCCAGUGAUAAACUGGAGGAAGGUGGGGAUGACGUCAAGUCAUCAUGGCCCUUACGACCAGGGCUACACACGUGCUACAAUGGCGCAUACAAAGAGAAGCGACCUCGCGAGAGCAAGCGGACCUCAUAAAGUGCGUCGUAGUCCGGAUUGGAGUCUGCAACUCGACUCCAUGAAGUCGGAAUCGCUAGUAAUCGUGGAUCAGAAUGCCACGGUGAAUACGUUCCCGGGCCUUGUACACACCGCCCGUCACACCAUGGGAGUGGGUUGCAAAAGAAGUAGGUAGCUUAACCUUCGGGAGGGCGCUUACCACUUUGUGAUUCAUGACUGGGGUGAAGUCGUAACAAGGUAACCGUAGGGGAACCUGCGGUUGGAUCACCUCCUUACCUGAAAGAAGC